GACGAACGCUGGCGGCGUGCCUAAUACAUGCAAGUAGAACGCUGAAGAGAGGAGCUUGCUCUUCUUGGAUGAGUUGCGAACGGGUGAGUAACGCGUAGGUAACCUGCCUUGUAGCGGGGGAUAACUAUUGGAAACGAUAGCUAAUACCGCAUAACAAUGGAUGACACAUGUCAUUUAUUUGAAAGGGGCAAUUGCUCCACUACAAGAUGGACCUGCGUUGUAUUAGCUAGUAGGUGAGGUAACGGCUCACCUAGGCGACGAUACAUAGCCGACCUGAGAGGGUGAUCGGCCACACUGGGACUGAGACACGGCCCAGACUCCUACGGGAGGCAGCAGUAGGGAAUCUUCGGCAAUGGGGGCAACCCUGACCGAGCAACGCCGCGUGAGUGAAGAAGGUUUUCGGAUCGCAAAGCUCUGUUGUAAGUCAAGAACGAGUGUGAGAGUGGAAAGUUCACACUGUGACGGUAGCUUACCAGAAAGGGACGGCUAACUACGUGCCAGCAGCCGCGGUAAUACGUAGGUCCCGAGCGUUGUCCGGAUUUAUUGGGCGUAAAGCGAGCGCAGGCGGUUUGAUAAGUCUGAAGUUAAAGGCUGUGGCUCAACCAUAGUUCGCUUUGGAAACUGUCAAACUUGAGUGCAGAAGGGGAGAGUGGAAUUCCAUGUGUAGCGGUGAAAUGCGUAGAUAUAUGGAGGAACACCGGUGGCGAAAGCGGCUCUCUGGUCUGUAACUGACGCUGAGGCUCGAAAGCGUGGGGAGCGAACAGGAUUAGAUACCCUGGUAGUCCACGCCGUAAACGAUGAGUGCUAGGUGUUGGAUCCUUUCCGGGAUUCAGUGCCGCAGCUAACGCAUUAAGCACUCCGCCUGGGGAGUACGACCGCAAGGUUGAAACUCAAAGGAAUUGACGGGGGCCCGCACAAGCGGUGGAGCAUGUGGUUUAAUUCGAAGCAACGCGAAGAACCUUACCAGGUCUUGACAUCCCGAUGCUAUUUCUAGAGAUAGAAAGUUACUUCGGUACAUCGGUGACAGGUGGUGCAUGGUUGUCGUCAGCUCGUGUCGUGAGAUGUUGGGUUAAGUCCCGCAACGAGCGCAACCCCUAUUGUUAGUUGCCAUCAUUCAGUUGGGCACUCUAGCGAGACUGCCGGUAAUAAACCGGAGGAAGGUGGGGAUGACGUCAAAUCACCAUGCCCCUUAUGACCUGGGCUACACACGUGCUACAAUGGUUGGUACAACGAGUUGCGAGUCGGUGACGGCAAGCUAAUCUCUUAAAGCCAAUCUCAGUUCGGAUUGUAGGCUGCAACUCGCCUACAUGAAGUCGGAAUCGCUAGUAAUCGCGGAUCAGCACGCCGCGGUGAAUACGUUCCCGGGCCU
rnacentral:rRNA from 1 species